UGUAAUUCGUCAAAGGCAGGGAGAAGCAGGAACAAGAUCAGCAAGCGGCGGAGGAACAAGAUCAGCAAGCGGCGGAGGGAGAUCUGGGCUUGAUUGAGCUUAGGAAAGCGUCGGAGGUUGAAAGGUUUAUAUUAGGGCUAAUUGAUUAUCGAUCUCCCGAUCUAUCAUAUUUAUCUUCGCUCAAUCAAGGGGCAUUAGGUGCAUUAGAUGGAACUCUAGUGAAUGCUGUUGUUCCGAGAAAUGAGCAAGUUCGAUAUAGAGGAAGAGGAAAGGGGAAAUGUUAUCAAAAUGUAUUAGCUAUUUGUGAUUUCGAUAUGAUAUUUACAUUUAUUUGGGCGGGAUGGGAAGGAGUGGCACAUGAUUCUAAGGUGUUAACUGAGACGAUGCGUAAUCCAUUGUCAAACUUUCCCUUUCCAGCACCAGAUGAAUAUUAUUUAUGUGAUGCUGCAUAUACUCAUACUCGAGGAUUUAUGUCCCCCUAUCGAAAUGUGCGUUAUUGGCUCGCUGAUUUUCAAUGAGGUGGUCGAGCUCGAACGAACGAAGAAUUAUUUAAUCAAGCACAUGCAAAAUUAAGAAAUGUCAUUGAACGUACAUUUGGUGUAUUGAAAGCUCGAUUUCCAAUAUUGGAUAAGAUGGCGCCAUACAAUUUUCAAACCCAAAGAAAUAUUGUUAUUGCUUGCGCAGUGUUGCAUAAUUUUAUUAGAAAGAGAUACAGGACCGACUCAUUUUUCGAACAAUAUGAAGUUGAUAAUAUGACUCAAAAUAAUCAACAACGAUGGACUACAAUGAUGGAGUCUUCGAGACCGGCAGAUCAAGCUUUUAUGAUUAAUUUACGUGAACAAAUUGCAAAUCAAUUGUCUAAUAUGUGAGUGAAU